CCUACGGGGGGCAGCAGUGAGGAAUAUUGGUCAAUGGGCGCGAGCCUGAACCAGCCAAGUAGCGUGAAGGAUGACUGCCCUACGGGUUGUAAACUUCUUUUAUAAAGGAAUAAAGUGAGGCACGUGUGCCUUUUUGUAUGUACUUUAUGAAUAAGGAUCGGCUAACUCCGUGCCAGCAGCCGCGGUAAUACGGAGGAUCCGAGCGUUAUCCGGAUUUAUUGGGUUUAAAGGGAGCGUAGAUGGGUUGUUAAGUCAGUUGUGAAAGUUUGCGGCUCAACCGUAAAAUUGCAAUUGAUACUGGCAGCCUUGAGUACAGUUGAGGUAGGCGGAAUUCGUGGUGUAGCGGUGAAAUGCUUAGAUAUCACGAAGAACCCCGAUUGCGAAGGCAGCUUACUAAACUGUGACUGACAUUGAUGCUCGAAAGUGUGGGUAUCAAACAGGAUUAGAUACCCUUGUGUC
rnacentral:rRNA from 1 species